rnacentral:rRNA from 1 species
UGGGGGAUAUUGCACAAUGGGCGAAAGCCUGAUGCAGCGACGCCGCGUGGGGGAUGAAGGCCUUCGGGUUGUAAACUUCUUUUGCUCUGAACAAGGCAUGCUAAUGAGUGUGUUGAGUGUAGGGGUUGAUUAGCGCCGGCUAACUACGUGCCAGCAGCCGCGGUAAUACGUAGGGCGCGAGCGUUGUCCGGAAUUAUUGGGCGUAAAGGGCUUGUAGGUGGCUGGUUGCGUCUGUCGUGAAAGCUCAUGGCUUAACUGUGGGUUUGCGGUGGGUACGGGCUGGCUUGAGUGCAGUAGGGGAGGCUGGAAUUCCUGGUGUAGCGGUGGAAUGCGCAGAUAUCAGGAGGAAUACCGGUGGCGAAGGCGGGUCUCUGGGCUGUUACUGACACUGAGGAGCGAAAGCAUGGGGAGCGAACAGG